rnacentral:rRNA from 1 species
UACGGAGGGGCUAGCGUUGUUCGGAAUUACUGGGCGUAAAGCGCACGUAGGCGGCUUCUUAAGUCAGGGGUGAAAUCCUGGAGCUCAACUCCAGAACUGCCCUUGAUACUGAGGAGCUCGAGUCCGGAAGAGGUGAGUGGAACUCCGAGUGUAGAGGUGAAAUUCGUAGAUAUUCGGAAGAACACCAGUGGCGAAGGCGGCUCACUGGCCCGGUACUGACGCUGAGGUGCGAAAGCGUGGGGAGCAAACAGG